rnacentral:pre_miRNA from 1 species
UGGUACGCGGGGAGAGGUUACCCGAGCAACUUUGCAUCUGGACGACGAAUGUUGCUCGGUGAACCCCUCUUCGGUAUCA